CUCCCAGCGUAUCUCGGUCGAAGAAGAAGAACACACCCAGAAAGUAAUGUUUACAUUGAGAGCCUAACCUAAUUCUGCUGACUUUGUCCUCCCUCGUGCGUGCUAGGAGAAUGAACAUGAGGAUUUUUGAAAAUGACGAACGAACAGUUUAAUUAUUAACGCGAAACUUUUCUUUUGUUGUAUGAUCUUGAUAAUUUCUACUUUAAAGUUGCAGUUAUGUUUUCUUCAUCUGUUGUCUUGGUGGUUAAGUUGGUUAUCCUAAAAUGUGAAGUGAUGUAGUUCGUUUUUAGGCCAGUAUCUCUUGCAACGAGGAGAAGCCCUAAGAUGGCUACAAAGAGGCAGGCAGCACUAAGUCAACUUGCUAGAAUGUAAAGUAAUAUCCCUAUCUACUAGCAGCUCUCUUGGAGAGUGAAGACUUACGAUGGCUGAACAGAUUCAGUGUGCGCAAAAGAAAAGAGGUGGUAGAUGGUGCUCUAUCCAGGGUUGCUUAAGUGACUCAGUGAAGGAUCCUGACCUACAAUUUUUUAGGUUUCCGAAGGAUUUGUUGCAUUUAUCUUUGUGAUUUAUUCUGAAACUCUACCUGACAGGUUAAUUUUCUUUAAUUUGUAUGUAAAUUUUGUAUUUUUGCCCUUGCAAUGUCAUACUUAGCUACUGAAAUUCUGAAAAUACUCAGGAUUCCAUUUUUCUCGAUAAGUAACAUUUAUCCAUGGUUCAAAUAUGAUGGUUCAUGUAGUAUUAAAUGUAAAGUUUCCUAAGCUCAGAUGGAUAGUUUAUUCAGCAGGGUUACAAUUUAUUGUCAGUAGAAGAGCCAUUGAAGAUACUGCAGCGAACUUUAGAUAGUACUGGUAGUUCUGUUUUUUUAGUCAAGAAAAAGUUAGUUCCGUGCACAACUCUAUCCCCUGGUUACUUGCUGUUCGUCUGAGCGAUUAAAGUAGAUUCCUCCUUGUGAAGUAUUGUUCUCUCUCUCCAUCAUCUAUAUUAUUUCAUUAAUUACUGUAAAUGCAAGGGUAUUGAUUGACAUGGCAUCCUUCAAUUUUGUUAUGAUUAAUUUCCUUACCCCUUGUUUCUUUUUUUGUUUUGUUUUGUAGUACUAAUUUGUUUCUUGUAUGAUAAUUUUAUUGUGCUUAGUUAUCAAUAUCGUUAAAUUACCUCCUUGAAGAAUGUUGUUUGGCAUUUAAUUCUUGUUCUGUUGAAGGGACUGUUUCUUCUUGUUGAUUGUUCAUAAUAUGUCUAUGUGAAUAUUUGCCAACAAUAAAUAUAAAACACUAGGUAGCGAAGUCAGUGGCAUAGCACGGUGAGUCCAGGGGGCCUAGAUUGUUCAAGAAGAAAAUUAUUCUUAAAGGUUCUCAGGAUUUGCUUACCUAUGAACACUCCAAAUUAGUAAAUUUUGGACCUCAUACCCCUUCAUGCAAAAUUUCUCAAUACGCUGGUGAGAAGAGCUUUGUAUCAAUCAAAGAAUCUCUUUUGCAAUUAAUUUGGGUUCCUCAUCUGUAUAGGUAUACGCCUUGUUUUCUCUGCCUUCUUUUACAUGUUCACCUGUCAAGUGCGAAAUAUGCGCUGCUUGUUUUUAAGUUUCCUCCAUAAGUCAAGGUAUUAUGUUCAGCAAUAUUAAACUCACCUGCUUGGUGCCUUUAAUUCCACAAGUAACAGGUUAUCCGUUCAUUUUCUGAUUAAUUAUUUAUUAUCAUUAGCAACAUACCAUUUCUCCGCUUAGUAGAAUGACAAAACAUUUGAAAUUUAAUUUUGAUACGGAGACUGCUGAUUCUUGUUACCUACUUGUGUUCAGAUUAUUCAGUCAAAUGUUUGUACAUUUUCUUCCAUUCAGAAUUUAAUUACUUUCUAUUAAAAGCAAUGCCUUUUGAGUAUCAUUUA